GAGUGGCGAACGGGUGGGUAAUACAUCGGAACGUGCCCAGAAGUGGGGGAUAACGUAGCGAAAGUUACGCUAAUCCCGCAUACGUUCUACGGAAGAAAGUGGGGGAUCGCAAGACCUCAUGCUUUUGGAGCGGCCAAUGUCUGAUUAGCUAGUUGGUGAGGUAAAGGCUCACCAAGGCGACGAUCAGUAGCUGGUCUGAGAGGACGCCAGCCACACUGGAACUAAGACACGGUCCAGACUCCUACGGGAGGCAGCAGUGGGGAAUUUUGGACAAUGGGCGCAAGCCUGAUCCAGCAAUGCCGCGUGAGUGAAGAAGGCCUUCGGGUUGUAAAGCUCUUUUGUCAGGGAAGAACCGGCAGUUGAAUAAUAUCCUUUGCUAAUGACGGUGCCUAAGAAU
rnacentral:rRNA from 1 species